rnacentral:tRNA from 5 species
GGGUGCGUAGCUCAGUGGUAGAGCACUACGUUGACAUCGUAGGGGUCGGAAGUUCAACUCUUCUCGCACCCACCA